rnacentral:rRNA from 1 species
AAGGGCACCACAAGAACGCGUGGAGCAUGUGGCUUAAUUUGACUCAACGCGGGAAAUCUUACCAGGUCCGGACACACUGAGGAUUGACAGGCGAAAGAGUUUGAAUUUUCUUCGGAGAAUUUUUCACUCAGCAAAUAUGCUAGUCCUUUCAUGAUUGUGUGAUAGGUGGUGCAUGGCCGUUCUUAGUUCGUGGAAUAAUCUGUCUGCUUAAUUGCGUCUAUUCAUAGGCACGUUUCCCUAUCUAAUGUGGUCUCAUUUCGGCGGCUUUCUUCUUUAGGGAGGACUGUUUCCGUUUUUCGAGAUGGACUGCUGGGGAAAUUCAGUGCUUUUUGAAACGAACGUGACCUCAACCCUUUUUUGUCGGAGCAAAAAUAUGUGAGUUUUUCCUUCACGGGAGAGACUUUCACACAAAUAUGGUUCCGUUGCAGAAGGGGACUGCCAUCUUCGUGGUGGAGGAAGGUUGAGGCAAUAACAGGUCUGUGAUGCCCUUAGAUGUUCUGGGCCGCACACGUGCUACAAUGAUCUAUGCAGUGAGCAUAAAUAUCAAUCUGCCUUGUUUCUUUCUUUGAAACAUGUUGCAGCAAACCUGCUUCGAUAGUUAGUAGGUAAUCAAUUCGAAGUAUAGAUUUCCUUUAAAGCUUUCAUGUGACUCUUUUUAGGAUGUUCACGUCUGCUCUUUUUUUGUAAGACUUCAUAGUGGGGACAGACCCUUGUUAAUUGUUGGUCUCGUUUUCAACUAGGAAUGCCUUGUACGGGUCUUUGGUUCGACAAACCACCCGGAAUACGUCCCUGCCCUUUGUACACACCGCCCGUCGCUCUUACCGAUGGACUUCUCUGUGAGUUUGAGGGACUCAGGUCAAUUUAUUUUGAUUACUGGGAAACUUAAGCGAACGGCUGGGUCUAAAGGAAAGAGAAGUCGUAACAAGGCAUCUGUAGGUGAACUGCAGAAGGAUCA